GAUGAACGCUAGCGGCAGGCCUAAUACAUGCAAGACGAACGGUAAGUUGAGUAGCAAUACUUAGCCAAGAGUGUCGUACGGGUGCGUAACACGUAUGCAACCUACCCUAUACAGGAGGAUAGCCUAGGGAAACCUGGAUUAACCCUUCAUAGUAUUAUUGGAUGGCAUCAUUUGAUAAUUAAAACUGAGGUGGUAUAGGAUGGGCAUGCGUCUGAUUAGUUAGUUGGCGGGGUAAUGGCCCACCAAGACGAUGAUCAGUAGGGGUUCUGAGAGGAAGAUCCCCCACACUGGCACUGAGAUACGGGCCAGACUCCUACGGGAGGCAGCAGUAGGGAAUAUUGGUCAAUGGAUGCAAGUCUGAACCAGCCAUGCCGCGUGCAGGAAGAAGGCCUCUGGGUUGGUUAAACUAGCUUUUGUCCA
rnacentral:rRNA from 1 species